CGCAGCGCAAAAACCUAAUCUGAACAGGAGUACUCAGGAAGGCGACAAGUGCUACCAGGCAGACUAUAACAACUCCCUGGUAUUAUCAUCUUCAGGAUCAGCAUCAAAUAUUACAUCUCAUCCAGUGGUUUCCUGUGUGGGUAUGUCUUCUACAGUAGCCAGUGACAGGCUUCUGUUGAUGGGGAUUGUGUGUUAGGAGGCUCGGAGCUCGGAGCGGAUGAUGUCUGGCCGUGACACAUGGGCGCAAUCAUUGUGUAACUCAAGAUGUACACAGACAGAUGGUUUAAGGAUUUAUUAUUCGUUCUGUGUGUGUGUGUGUGUGUGUGUGUGUGUGUGUGUCUGUGUGUGUCCGUCCCCUGGGACGCAGUUAUUUUCAAACAGCUGAUUCCUGUCAUUGACUCUAAAGCCUCUGAUAAUCAGCUGGUAAAACUCCCACUCAAGAGACUGCCUCAAAAAAUACUAUAAUAAAAACUGUUUUUUUCCCCCUUCAAAAUGGCAAUAUAAUAUAACAAUGUCCUGAGAAUAUAUUUGACCAUAAUAACAUUUUUGAAGGUGUCUCACUCACAUCUACCACAACUUACUUAUUAGAAAACAAUGAAUGAAUUUCAAACAGUUUCUUAAUGAAUAAAAAAAACCUGCUCUUACCGAAGCUGAGGAUGUUUCUCUUUAGUGAUUUAGUCUUCUUUAGUGAAAUAUGUCCACGGCAGGUUUGUGAAGGUAAUAAUCCCACGGCACAGGAGGAGUCCAGUGUCCAGUGUCCAGUGUCCAGUGUCCAGUGUCCAGUGUCCAGCUGCGGUGGGCUCUCUGUCCUACUGGUCUUCCACAGACCUGUGAGAGUCCAGAGCAGAGUGAGAGUAAAUGAGGAUGUCCAGGGCUGCCCGCUGGACGCAGAGUUCAGUCCAGCCCCGAGCCCCAAGCACAAGCCCACUGUUUUCCUGUUAUUGUCCCUGCUGUCGCGGCUCUCUGUAGAGUCCACUGCUCACCUCCCCUCCCCUUCCCUUCUCCCUCUUUCUCCCUCUCUCUCUCUCUCUCUCUCUCUCAGUCACUCACUCUCGCGUCUCUUCACCGCCACCGACCAGGAAAUCAGAUAAGACCUGUCAGCCUUUCUGCUAAUUACAGCUGAGCACACCGCGGCAGUGGGCUGGACUCAGGAGAAACAAGCGAGUGUGUGUGUGUGUGUGCGUGUGUGAGAGAGAGAGAGAGACAGAGAAAGAGAGAGCGAGAGAGAGAGAGUGUGAAUGGGUGUGUGUGUGUGUGUGUGUGUGUGUGUGUGUUUGGGUGUAUGCUUGUGUAUGCAUGUGCAUGUGUGAGAGUGAGAGAAAGAGAGAGAGAGAAAGAGAGAGUGAGAGAAAGAGAGAGUAAGUGCAUUUGUAUCACAGCCACUCCUGUGGUUGCUGGGUGUUGAGAGGUAGGGUUCGCACAGAGAGAGGCAGCCACAUGUUACUUCA
ensembl:lncRNA